UAGAGGGGGGUAGAAUUCCAGGUGUAGCGGUGAAAUGCGUAGAGAUCUGGAGGAAUACCGGUGGCGAAGGCGGCCCCCUGGACGAGACUGACGCUCAGGUGCGAAAGCGUGGGGAGCAAACAGGAUUAGAUACCCUGGUAGUCCACGCCGUAAACGAUGUCGACUUGGAGGUUGUGCCCUUGAGGCGUGGCUUCCGGAGCUAACGCGUUAAGUCGACCGCCUGGGGAGUACGGCCGCAAGGUUAAAACUCAAAUGAAUUGACGGGGGCCCGCACAAGCGGUGGAGCAUGUGGUUUAAUUCGAUGCAACGCGAAGAACCUUACCUGGUCUUGACAUCCACGGAAGUUUUCAGAGAUGAGAAUGUGCCUUCGGGAACCGUGAGACAGGUGCUGCAUGGCUGUCGUCAGCUCGUGUUGUGAAAUGUUGGGUUAAGUCCCGCAACGAGCGCAACCCUUAUCCUUUGUUGCCAGCGGUCCGGCCGGGAACUCAAAGGAGACUGCCAGUGAUAAACUGGAGGAAGGUGUGGAUGACGUCAAGUCAUCAUGGCCCUUACGACCAGGGCUACACACGUGCUACAAUGGCGCAUACAAAGAGAAGCGACCUCGCGAGAGCAAGCGGACCUCAUAAAGUGCGUCGUAGUCCGGAUUGGAGUCUGCAACUCGACUCCAUGAAGUCGGAAUCGCUAGUAAUCGUGGAUCAGAAUGCCACGGUGAAUACGUUCCCGGGCCUUGUACACACCGCCCGUCACACCAUGGGAGUGGGUUGCAAAAGAAGUAGGUAGCUUAACCUUCGGGAGGG
rnacentral:rRNA from 1 species